rnacentral:rRNA from 1 species
UACGUAGGGGGCAAGCGUUGUCCGGAAUCAUUGGGCGUAAAGAGCGCGUAGGCGGUCCGGUAAGUCCGCUCUGAAAGUCCGGGGCUCAACCCGGGAGGCGGGCGGAUACUGUCGGGCUAGAGUCCGGAAGAGGCGAGUGGAAUUCCUGGUGUAGCGGUGAAAUGCGCAGAUAUCAGGAGGAACACCAAUGGCGAAGGCAGCUCGCUGGGGACGGUACUGACGCUGAGGCGCGAAGCGUGGGGGAGCAAACAGG